UACGUAGGGGGCAAGCGUUGUCCGGAUUUAUUGGGCGUAAAGAGCGUGUAGGCGGCUGGGUAGGUCCGUUGUGAAAACUCGAGGCUCAACCUCGAGACGUCGGUUGAAACCAUCUGGCUAGAGUCCGGAAGAGGAGAGUGGAAUUCCUGGUGUAGCGGUGAAAUGCGCAGAUAUCAGGAAGAACACCCGUGGCGAAGGCGGCUCUCUGGGACGGUACUGACGCUGAGACGCGAAAGCGUGGGGAGCGAACAGG
rnacentral:rRNA from 1 species